GAUGAACGCUAGCGGCAGGCCUAAUACAUGCAAGUCGAGGGGCAGCAUAGUAGCAAUACUGAUGGCGACCGGCGCACGGGUGCGUAACGCGUAUGCAACCUACCUUUUACUGGGGGAUAGCCCGGAGAAAUUCGGAUUAACACCGCAUAACAUAUUGAAUUGGCAUCAAUUUAAUAUUAAAUAUUUAUAGGUAAGAGAUGGGCAUGCGUCCAAUUAGCUAGNGGUGAGGUAAUGGCUCACCAAGGCUAUGAUUGGUAGGGGUUCUGAGAGGAACGGUCCCCCANACUGGUACUGAGAUACGGACCAGACUCCUACGGGAGGCAGCAGUAGGGAAUAGUUGGGCAAUGGGCAGAGCCUGACCCAGCCAUGCCGCGUGCAAGGAAGAAGGCCUUCGUGGGUUGUAAACUGUCUUUUGAUCGGG
rnacentral:rRNA from 1 species